rnacentral:rRNA from 1 species
UACAGAGGGUGCAAGCGUUGCUCGGAAUUACUGGGCGUAAAGCGUGUGUAGGCGGUCCAGCAAGUGGGGUGUGAAAUCCCUGGGCUCAACCCAGGAACUGCGCCCCAAACUGCCGGACUUGAGUGUCGGAGAGGAUAGUGGAAUUCCCAGUGUAGAGGUGAAAUUCGUAGAUAUUGGGAGGAACACCAGUGGCGAAGGCGGCUAUCUGGACGAACACUGACGCUGAGACACGAAAGCGUGGGGAGCAAACAGGAUUAGAUACCCUUGUAGU